ensembl:lncRNA
UUUUUCUAGUUGUUUUAUUUCAUUUUGAACUACCCGUUCAUGUACAAUUAGAAUAAAAACACAAUUUUAUUUUUAAAAAUGUAUUUUGUUUGGCACAAAAUAACAACAAAAGUCAAAGGUUCCCAUGAAUGCAUGCACCAAAGAUGAUGACAGAAACAUGUAUAAAAACUGUGACGCAGACAGUGUGGAACAGGCCCAAACUGUUCAAAUCAGCUGCAUUCAGAUGCUGCCUCGGUUGGCUUGCUCCUUCAAACCUGGCUAAAAAAUUUUUUUGCAUCUUUUUUUUGUAGUCUACAGUGGGGUUUGGAUUAAAGGGCAGCAGACCUUGAGACGAUCCACCCAGCCAGACUGACAGGACCAGCUCAUCACAGCGGGUGCUGUCGCCCCAGGAGGGGAGGAAGCGAGCCGAAAUAGGAACCAUGCUGGCCCAGCUUGGACUUAAGGCUGCUCCUGGCUAAUGUCCGAUCUGGAAAUGAGAUUCAGGCUGGUCAAACAACUUGAAAUCAGAGACUGUUGUAUCCACAUCUUUACAGAGACCUGCUUCAUCAAGCGCUCGUCAGGCGGACUGUGUUCCGCGCAGACAGAACGCAGGACGAGAGGAGGCGGACUCUGUCCAUCGAUGAGGCUUGGUGCUCAAAUGCAGUCAAAGUGGAUGGACGCAGUUUCUUUUUCACUAUCUCACUAUCUUGUUGCUGCUGUUUACAUUCAACCAGAUGCAAAUUCCCUGGGUGUAUACUAUGAUCAGAUGGCAAAGUGGCCUGGCUUGGUCCAUGACUCCCAAGUCCUUCGGGCCUGUACAAUUACCCAGCGACUAUCUGAAGGUGAAUACUCUGGCGUGUUGCUGGAAGACAAGGGUUAUGCCUGUCAGGAUGAUGACGGGGAUAUUACGGGCGAACUGAUGAAGAUCACAACACGAUGUGGCAUACCUGCAGCCCGUGCAAAGAUCGUCCUGGAGGGAACAGAGGUCCUAACGGAUGUGGAUAUUCCCAGAGCCUGUGCCUUGAUAAUGGGGCUGAUAUACGCACUCAACCUCAGCUACCCAAAAGAACUGAAAAAUACUUUUGAAGUGUUUCAAAAGAUAUUCCUCGAGUUGGACGUUCUGAAAGCAAGUCCUAAGGUAAUGUUGCCAAAAUAUAAACUGCUGUGCUAAAACAAAAAAUGUGAGGAGUUAAAGAGACAUUGAAGCUGUCCUCUAAUUAAAGAGGAAAUGUUGCACUGUUAUUUGCAAUGUGUUGUUUACAUGCUUGACAUGGACAGCCCAGUUAAACCCAGGACUGAAGUUAGCUAACAGAAAGGAAGAGGAUCCUCUGAAUGAAUUAAUGAAUGACUCUUAUUAAAGACAACAAAAAGGAGCUCUAAGUCUAGAUUGUUAUUUAAUUGUAAUGACACGUGUUGAUCAACCCUGACCUCAAGGUCCCCUUUGUAUAGCAGUCUUGGAGCUUUCGAUUGUAUCACAUGCUCUUCGUCAGCAGACGGAGAUCGCUCAGUUGUUGUGGAAUUGAAGAUGUUCAGAUUUUCAUUUUUUGAGCACUUUAAGGACUUCUCAUCCAUGUUGGCUUAAAGUUCUUAUCAUAAGUUUAUUUGUGAAAUUGAAAAAUGCAGUUAGCAAAAAAAUCCACCACAGUGUCCAAGGAGCUGCUGUUUCCAAGGUCAGGAAUGAACUUUCAAUUUUAACUUAAUGACAGAUAUAUACGCCUAGCAGCCCUGUUAGGGAACAUUACAGUGGCAAAAGCUCUCUGUUCUCAUCAGACAUCAAGUGUACAACAUUUUCAUUUUCAAGGCGUAGAAGUAGAAAGUCUGAUUUUUUGUCAUGUUCUACUGCCGGAUAUGGUGAAAGUUUCAGAAGAACAUUCUUUUUAAUAAAAAUGACCUACUGCAGCUUUAAAGAACAAGAAGUUUUACUUCAAAUAUGGUUUUAAAAAAUGAACUACAAAACAAACUAAUGGUUUUGAUAUCCCAUUAUGCUUUGAAUGCAUGAUAAGUUUGGUUUUAAUUAUGUGUGUGUACUGUUUGUGCAAACAUGUCUGUAUAUAUAUGUAAAAGUGAGCAUACGCAGAUACAUGCAUUUACAGUGGAUAUAUAUACAUUCAUAUAUACAUGUCUGUGUGUAUACAUGACUAAAGCUUACUUAUUGCCUGGACUGUGGAGCUUGUUCAUAAAUGUUAUAAACUUUUGAGAAGAGUAUACCUAGUAAACUACAGCUUCUGAAUCCACAUUAUCUUUUUACAGAGUCUGUGUUUGCUUAUUCUCUGUCAUCUGAGUUUGAUUAUCCAACAGCAUAGCUAGUGAACAUUGUCUACUCUAAAAUUUUUGUUGUUGGAGCUUAGAUAUCAAAUGGCAAAGUGAAUUUUAUUGUAUACCGACAUGUACUGAAUAAAAUAGGUAGGACGUUGUCUGAUGAUUAGUGGAGUGUAGGUGUCCUUAACAGAGAAUGACGUCACACUCCCUGUUCCUGUGUUGAUCCCCGAGCAUUGUUUACUUCUCCAGUCCAGCCGUACAUGCAUGUGUAUCCCUCAGUGUGCAACUGUUGGCUUUGAAGAAACUGCUGUUUUUCUCAUCUUUCUCUGUGAAUUGAGGAUUUAUUUCAACCAAAGCAGAGCUGGUUAUUGUUGGAACAGUGGAAAGACUAACAAAGAUGGUUUUAUUGAGAUUUAUUUUGUUUCUGACAACUUUGAAUGAGGGAUGUUCCGAUGAUAUGCAAGUUUGACUUAGUCUAUGGAGUCUGGUGGCGAGUGAUAGGGGCUGUUUCUGGUUAAACUAAAGGGAUCCUUUCCAUAAUGUUGUCACACAACAAUCUGAAUCCAAAGGCAAAAACAAAAACUUUUAGUGGACGCACUUUGACCAACGCAAGGAUUACGACGUGUUAUGUUACAGGAAUGAGCCGAGAAAGACAGAAAGACGCUUUGUGUUGGUGGCUUGAAGAUAGUUGAUUGUUGAUUCUCAUUCUAAAUGUUGGUAUUCAACGACCUAGGAAUGAGACUCAACAAUCUUUCUCAGCUCUGAUUGGUUUUUGUCAUUGAGGCCCGGUGGAUUCUUGGAAAUACCAUUAGGAGCACUAGGAGGAGCCAGAGGAAGCUGCUGCAGCUGUAAUGCUAUUGCUGGAUAAAGUGAUCAGGGGGUUGACACAAGAGAAGUUCUCACCAUAACUUUUAGGAUUCAUCCUUUGCAAAUUUCAGAACAUUUCAUGGAAAUCAUUUUUUAAACGGACCAAAAAAUGAUGUCAAAAUGAUGAGCAAUCAUUCUCUCUGCUUCUCUUUGUUCAAAAAGGAAUGAAGAAACUGAACAUCUGAGACAAGACAUACUGUAUACCCAUAAUUCCCUCAUUCUCUCUAUAGGAUCCUGUCUCUCUCCAUGGUAAUCUCUUCAUUACUCUGAAUCUUUUUGUUUGUCUGUUCAGGUCCAGAAACCUUCUAGUGAAUCUCACAUGGAUAUGCUGUAGAGCACAGGCAGCUGUAAUGACACAACAUUCAGCUGACGUUGCUCUUUGGGAAUAUAUUUAUCUCUUCAGGUAGUGGAGAGAGGGCAUCAAUAACCUGCAAUCAAUUAGAGUGAUGGGUGAUAAAACAGAAUACACUCCUUGUAAACAGCACGAGUGAGAUGUAGCAUCACUCAGCAUUGGCUCACACUCAUAGCCUGCUGUAAGCUUGCUGCAGAGCCAAAGAUUAUGUGAAUAGAACUGGCAGGAGAAAAACAAACCUUGACCUUUGACUCCACAGGUUGUAUGACAUGUUGAAGUUGGUUCAAGUAGAGUUGUAUUGGAGCUUAAACGUGUGUGCUCCUGCCCUCUUUCCAAAGGAAGACAGGUCCCUCCCAGCCAUUGUUCUCCUCACACAGAGGUCAUCAACAUCAUCAUGGUGGUCCUGCGGCACAGGAAGAAACAAUGACACCAGGGGAGAGGGGCUUCCUAUGGAGGCUGGGGAUUCAUAGUGACUUAAGAGGUUAGCAUAAGUCAGCCUGUAAACAUUUACUUUAGAAAAUGUGCAUUAGGACUACCAGUAGGGGGUUUAGUGACAAAACAAAUACCAACAUAUGUCAAUUGAAGUUAUUCAUUUAUUUAUUUCUGUAAAUUCUGUAGUUACACAAAAGGAUACCACUGUUACCACUGCUGCUUUGUCUAUUAGUACAGUACAGUGUUGAUGAAUUGUUGAUUAAUAGCCACCAAAGUACAGCACCAAAUGUGUAUUAUUUCCUCCUGUUUGAGUAACGUUUGUUAAUAAUAACAGUGACCAGCUGACCUUUCUGUUUACAACAAGACUUCAUAUUUGUGUAUGUUAUAUAUUAUAUCAGUAGAAAUGGCCUGAAAUGACACAUGAAAUAACUUAAGGCAUUGGCGCAUUAUUCAUAUAUAUAUUGACACAGAAACUAAUGGGCCUGGGGUUGAACAGUGUUACCAGCUGUACAAUAAUCGUCAUAUUUAAUUAAAAAGCAUAAUAAAAUCAGCAUUGUCAUGUUUUGUCAGUUCAAAAAAAUCAGCAUACAUGAUAGGAUGGGCUGUCUGUCCUGUAGCCUCCAUAAUGAAAGUUGACCUGUAGUCCAUUUCAGCCAAUUGAACUCAUGGAUAUAUUGUGAAAAGGCUGUAUAGGUCUGCGCAGUUCUGGG